GAUGAACGCUGGCGGCGUGCCUAAUACAUGCAAGUCGAGCGAACAGACGAGGCGCUUGCUCCUUCGACGUUAGCGGCGGACGGGUGAGUAACACGUAGUUAACCUACCUAUUCGACUGGGAUAACUUAGGGAAACCGGAGCUAAUACCGGAUAAUAUUUCGAACCGCAUGGUUGGAUAGUGAAAGCUGGCUUUGCUAUCAUUUAUAGCUGUCCCUGCGCCGUAUUGGUUAGUUGGUAAGGUAACGGCUUACCAAGGCGACGAUACGUAGCCGACCUGACAGCGUGAUCCCCGCCUCUGGGGGUGGACCACGACCCUGACACCGACGGAAGGCCCCGACUCCUACGCGUGGCAGAUGGGCGGAAUCCUGACGGAGCAGCGCCAGCCUAGUGAAGAAGCGCUUCGGAUCGUAUGACGCUGUUAUGAUUGAAAAACAAACGUGUAAGGAACUGAGCACUUCGUGACGGUACCUAGACAGAAAGCCACGGCUAACUACGUG
rnacentral:rRNA from 1 species